UGAGUAACGCGUAUCCAACCUUCCCCUUAGUAGGGCAUAGCCCGUAGAAAUGCGGAUUAAUACCCUAUGUUGUAUAUUGAGGACAUCUGAUUUAUACCAAAGGUUCACCGCUAAGGGAUGGGGAUGCGUCUGAUUAGGUAGUCGGCGGGGUAACGGCCCACCGAGCCCACGAUCAGUAGGGGUUCUGAGAGGAAGGUCCCCCACAUUGGAACUGAGACACGGUCCAAACUCCUACGGGAGGCAGCAGUGAGGAUAUUGGUCAAUGGACGAGAGUCUGAACCAGCCAAAGUAGCGUGCAGGAUGACGGCCCUAUGGGUUGUAAACUGCUUUUAUACGGGGAUAAAGUGAGGGACGUGUCCCUUUUUGUAGGUACCGUAUGAAUAAGGACCGGCUAAUUCCGUGCCAGCAGCCGC
rnacentral:rRNA from 1 species